rnacentral:lncRNA from 1 species
UGGAAGCGUCCAGCAGGAAGAAUUCUUCAUUAACACACACAGGAAAGCCGAGCUCUCCUUGUCGCUGGUCCUCAGCUGACCAACGCUAAGCAAUUCACAGGCAGCGUCAUUUCAUCAACGCGCUCCCGUUGCACUCCGGACAUUCGGCCUGGA